rnacentral:sRNA from 1 species
GGAAAAAGGGGAUACAUUUUAAGAAUCUGAAAACUAUUAAGGUUUUAUAUGUAUCUAAAUUUUGAUUUCUGAACACUCCUGAAAUGACAAAGUUUACAAAGAUGGCGAUUGUAUUGGUUUGAAUAGAAUUUUGUUUUUAUAGAAAACAAAUGAAUCAUAUUUAAUAAGAAUGGUAAUAAAAUUUUUCAAGCAG